rnacentral:rRNA from 1 species
CCUACGGGUGGCAGCAGUGGGGAAUAUUGCGCAAUGGGCGAAAGCCUGACGCAGCGACGCCGCGUGAGGGAUGAAGGUCUUCGGAUCGGAAACCUCUGUCAGCAGGGAAGUACGGUCACUGUGCUAAUCAGCAGUGAAUUGACGGUACCUGCAAAGGAAGCACCGGCUAACUCCGUGCCAGCAGCAGCGGUAAUACGGAGGGUGCGAGCGUUAAGCGGAAUUACUGGGAGUAAAGCGCUCGUAGGCGGUAUGUCAAGUCAAGGGUGAAAUCCCCGCGCUCAACGUGGGAACUGCCUUUGAAACUGGCAAACUGGAGUGUGUGUGAGGAUAGUGGAAGUCCUGGUGUAGGCGUGAAAUCCGUAGAUAUCUGGAGGAACAUCAGUGGCGAAGGCGUCUAUCUGGCACAUAACUGACGCUGAGGAGCGAAAGCGUGGGUAGCAAACAGGAUUAGAUACCCUUGUAGUC